GGAGAAUUGGCAGCAGAGGUUAGCUCAGGGCUAAUCCUCCUCAAAAACAUCAACAAAAGAAAUGAAUGAUAAUUCUUGUAGGUUGAUCCACUGACAACAGUUACUGCACCUACAGUCCACAGUGAAUGGCGGGGAGAAGUACCUGAAAGUAUCAUUCCACAAAAGCAGGUUCUUCAUAUUUUGCUCCCUGGAAAUUAUGCGAGCAUGUGACCGUGACUGAAGUGCCUAUCUGUGCAGCCUGCAGUCGAGUAGCAGGGAUGUUGGGUCAAUGUUAGUCCCUGCAGAGGUUUCAGCGGAGGAUGCUAAAAAGGCGGAGGGACCACAGUUACUUGAAUGUAAGCGCCAGAAGAUAAGGAACCUUGUCUGUCCUGUUUCCCAUGAUACACCUAGCGCCCGGAAGAACGCAUGGAAUAAAGCAACACUCAGUAUAGUUUGUGGGAUGAAUAAAUUGUUACCGGAAACGAGAAGCAGCCAGAUAGGUCAAAAUAAUUUCAAGAUUGAAAGCUUGACCAAGAUAAUCAGGUGCUGGGCGCUCAUCGGAACAAGAUGGGCAGAGUCUCCGUGGUCAUGGAUCUAGGAGAGACAAGACAAAAACACUAAGUAAACUGAAGAUGAACAAGGCAACUACAAAUUGUGGCAAAUGUCAUGAAGAAACAAGAGAGCAAGAAAGAGAAACUUUAGAAAAGGAUAAACAAGAAGUCCCCUUCUGCCAAAAUAAGACUGAAAACCAAAUAAAAAGUGCUUCUUUCACUCCGCCUUAACCUUCACUUUAUCUGAGGAGGUUCCGAAUUUCAAACAGAUGCCGUCACUCCCGAAUAGUGAUAGAUUUAGCCGAUCUGCCUUCUUCAAGUCCCAGCCUUUGUUUAAAUUGCAGGUCCUUCUAGUUGUGGCAUGUGGGACGCCGCCUCAGCGUGGCCUAAGGAGCGGUGCCAUGUCCGCACCCAGGAUCCAAACCAGCGAACCCCAGGCCACCGAAGCAUAACGUGCACACUUAACCUCUUUGCCACUGGGUGGACCCCCAAUUUCCCCACUUUCUAUUGUUAAAUUGUGUUAUGCUCUUCCUCCAAAAAACAUGUGUUUG
rnacentral:lncRNA from 1 species